CAGCUAAGGGUUGGCGGGGAUUUGUCCUGUGCGCAGGAGAGAAGAAUCUCGGUAUUCUUUAGGCAGUUCCAGAUUCUACCAUAUAUGAGAUUAAAAUCCUUGGGACGCUGUUGAACCACUGCUAUCUAUGAAAUCAUGGAGACUAUACUUGUCAGGCACAGUUACCAGCUUUCUAUCACAAGAGAUUACAUUACAUUUCCUGUCAUUUAUGGAAAUAAAUUCAAACACUGAAUAAUAUUCCAUUGUGUACCACAUUUUCAUUAUCAAAUCAUCAAUUGAUGGAUGUCGUGGCUGUUUCCAUUUCCUGGCUAUUUGACUUGCUUCUAAUGUCAAAAAUAAUGAAAUGCCAGUUCCAAGAUUAUCAUAUGACUGUGCCUUCUGCCACGAUCAGACUUCUGGUCUCGCAUUUGCUCAUUCCGACGAAGAACUUUGCCAUGUUGUGUCCUAUAGAGAGGCCCACAUCUUCAGAAGGAAAUGCAGAAAAACCAGGAAGAAGACAAUCUUGUGAGCUAAAAAGUUCCACCCCAGUAUCUGGAACCAACUAAGAGACAAGCCUCUGGGCAGGCCUGGGAGGGAGUACUGUGGUUAAGUUAACCGAGGUGAGAAGAACCAGCCUCAUCGUGAUGGUGCCAUUCCCUGACCUUGUGUCCUGAACCGCUCAAGAAGGAAAGAGGCAGCUGCACACCCAAGCUCAUCGUAAUCUGCUUCCUGACUGCAGAUGUAACGUGUAGACAAGUUCCUGCCACCCGCAUUCCUGCCACAGGAGACUGUCCCUUCACACUGUUUGCCAAAAUAAAUGCUU